rnacentral:rRNA from 1 species
GCGCUUAUUGCGCGGCGAGAAAACCUUACACACAAUGUUUUUGUUUUUAUUAAGAAACUUUGCUUUGGUUUGGCGUAGAGAUACGUUGGGCCAGAGGUUUACCAAUCUUCAAUUUUUAAUUGAAUUGUUUUUAACUAUUUUAUUUGUCAAUUGUGAUUUUAUAAUCAAUAUAAUCUUCAAAACUUUCAACAACGGAUCUCUUGGUUCUCGCAUCGAUGAAGAACGCAGCGAAAUGCGAUAAGUAAUAUGAAUUGCAGAUUUUCGUGAAUCAUCGAAUCUUUGAACGCACAUUGCGCCCUUUGGUAUUCCAAAGGGCAUGCCUGUUUGAGCGUCAUUUCUCUCUCAAACCCUCGGGUUUGGUAUUGAGUGACACUCUCUGGAGUUUACUUGAAAAGUAUUGGCACGAGUAGUACUGAAUAGUGCGCUCUUAGAGAUCAAUGUAUUAGGUUCUACCAACUCGUUGAAUUCUUUGGGUUGCAAAUUUUUAGUGAUUUGGCUCUGCCUUAUAAAUACACCAUACAAGUUUGACCUCAAAUCAGGUAGGAUUACCCGC